rnacentral:rRNA from 1 species
ACGCACGCUGGCGGCGUGCUUAACACAUGCAAGUCGAACGCUGAAGACCUGGCUUUUGUUGGGUUGGAUGAGUGGCGAACGGGUGAGUAACACGUGAGUAACCUGCCCUCUUCUUUGGGAUAACGCCCGGAAACGGGUGCUAAUACUGGAUAUUCACUGAUCUUCGCAUGGGGGUUGGUGGAAAGGUUUGUUCUGGUGGGGGAUGGGCUCGCGGCCUAUCAGCUUGUUGGUGGGGUGAUGGCCUACCAAGGCUUUGACGGGUAGCCGGCCUGAGAGGGUGACCGGUCACAUUGGGACUGAGAUACGGCCCAGACUCCUACGGGAGGCAGCAGUGGGGAAUAUUGCACAAUGGGCGAAAGCCUGAUGCAGCGACGCCGCGUGAGGGAUGGAGGCCUUCGGGUUGUAAACCUCUUUCGCUCAUGGUCAAGCCGCAACUGUGGGUUGUGGUGAGGGUAGUGGGUAAAGAAGCGCCGGCUAACUACGUG